GGCAACGUGUCAAACAACUUGGGAGGGGAGUAUGAGGACCGUUCCUAUCAUAGCCGAGCCUGAGAAAAGAGUGGAAUAAACCGGAUUCCUUCUCGACACUCUUGUCUCCUCGAUCGCUCUGCUUGUGACAAAAGCUUUAAUGGACCUGAAAGCAGUGGUCGGAAGGUUUGCCGGCAUGGUGCUGGCGGUUUUGAGCAGGGAAGAUAAGUUCCCAUUAUACGAUGUUAUGAUUUAUGAUUAUAAAGAAGAUCUUAAGAACUACCCAGAGGAGACUCCAAGGGAUGUUAUUAAUGAUUGCAUCCUGAAGCUGUGACGGGCUCUUGUGCACUCAACAGAUAAAGAAAAUAUCAAGGAAGGAAUACAAAAGCUUGAAGGCGGUCUUAGAGGUGUGUUGGGGUGAACUUAGCCCACUUCAAAAGAGGGAGAUGCUUUAUCUUCUCUCAGUUGGAUAUUACAGAGAUGGUGACUAUGCAAAUAGCUUAUCUUACUUGGACCAGUGUUUGGAGAUUGCACCGCACUUCAACCAAGCAUUGACCCUAAAGAAAAAAUUUGGAUCAGUUCUCUGGUUUCUGAUUGGGGGAGAGCACCAAUAGAUUGUGAGAGAGAUAUCGCAGAGGCUGGAGAUGAUGCUCCAGAUGAGGUUAAGAAUGAAAACAUCAUCAAGUUAUCCAAGCCCCUCUUGAGAAAGGUGGACUGAACAAACUUCAGUUCAGGGAUAUGCUUUAUAUUCGCUCACUUGGGCAUUACAUAAGUCGUGACUUUAUUAAGAGCUUCAACGGCGUGUGUCAAUGUUUGGAGGUUGCACCAGAUUUCUGGCAAGGUAGGUGCCUGAGCCAUACAAUAUCAACUCGAAUAGAUAGAGAUGAAUUUCUCGGCACAUUCAUUUUAUACGCUGCUACUUAUGGUGCGGCUACAUUUGUGCCAGCUAUUAUCAAGGCAAGAUCGCAUCUUAAGACAUGAUAUGGCUCAUGGAGUGGCAUGUAAGAAUGAUACAGCUCAAAACCACUUUAGAUUUUCUUUUUUGCAUGACAUUUUCUCACUCUCAACACCUAGUUUAACCCUUGAACAUUUGUGGUUAUAUCUCUUCGCUAUCUUUAUCAGAUCAUUUGUCUCAGUUCGUGUUGAUUUCGCUAACUUACAAUGUUGAUUUUGCUAUCCUGAUGGAAAUUCUAAUUCGUGUUGAAUAGAAUUAGGUGCAAUAAGUUUUUUUUUUAGGUGCAAAAGGUUUAUAAAAGCGAAAGUGUAUAGCAACACGCUCACGCAGUAAAGCGCAAAGCGUUGUGGAAUUGCAAAACAUAAAAUAAUAUAUUACUUUCUAGUUUUGCUAGCCAUGUUUGAAAUUUUUGGUGAAGUAGAAAAAGAUUUGGAAAAGUUUUAUUAGUAGAGAAGAGUGAAAAAGGUUUAAGUAGCUGCGGCACGGUUCUCUUUUAAGAACCCAAUCCAUCUUCCGUAGUGCAAGGUGUUUGCAUUCACGUGGCAAGGCAAAUUAGUUUCUGUCCAUCUCCACUGGACUUUCCUUCUCUUCCGGAUAACACAUCUUGGCUACACCUUGACCAGAGUCAUAACCAAUUACCUCACCGAUCUCAAGGACCGUCCAUUACAAUCCAACUGAUUUCUUUGAACUCAAUAGUAUUUGCGAUGUGGUCGAAUAGGCAACGUGUGAUGCCAAGUUCUGAUAAUAGCCGGGGCCUGAGAAAGAAGUGGAAUAAAAAGACCUCUUUCUCGGUACACACAGUUCACUUUUUUCCUCGCCUCAAAUCGCUCUGCUCGUGAGAAAAACUUUCAUGGACCUGGAAGGAGUGGCCGGAAGGUUCGCCGGCACGAUUCUGGCGUUUUUGAUCAGGGAAGAUAAUUUCCCAUUAUAUGAUGUUAUGAUUCAUGAUUAUAAAGAAGAUCUCAAGAACUACCCAGGGGAGACUCCAAGGGAUGUUAUUAAUGAUUGCAUCCUGAAGUUGUGCCGGGCUCUUGUUCACUCAACAGACAAAGAAAAUAUCAAGGAAGGAAUACAAAAGCUUGACGGUGGAUAUAAGAGAAUUUCAGUUAUAUAUAGUUCUGUCAAUGUGAAUAGCUGUACUUUGUAUGCUAAAUCAAGCAAAUUUAAAUAUUUGUCUCGCUCCCUGCUAAUUUUACUGCGCACUACCUUGUUAAAACUGGUCAAUUUCUUUUUGUAGGUGAUCUUUGGGGUGUAUUGGCUGAACUUAGCCUACUUCAAAAGAGGGAGAUGCUUUAUCUUCUCGCAGUUGGAUAUUACAGAGAUGGUGACUAUGCAAGUAGCUUAUCUUACUUGGACCAGUGUUUGGAGGAGCAUUAAUAGCUGUGUUACAAUGACAUUGGCUCGGUGUUGUGUGUCCACUACGGUAUUUUGACACGACAAUUUUAAAAAACGAGGAAGCGGGGACACGGCAUACACAAAAUAGACAUGUCGGCGUCGAUACCUCUGGUUGCAGUAAAACUACUUUUUGAAUUGAUAUUUUUUAUGAAACCUUCGAUCUUCCGAAGGCCAUCUUAGUUUAUCUUGAAUCUUGAGCCUUUUUUCUUUUUGUAUGUGAUUGUAUGGCUUGGCAUGCACAUCUGGUUGUAGUACGUAAGUGUGCAUAAAC